GGUGCUAUGGUGUAAUGGUCAGCACUCUGGACUCUGAAUCCAGCGAUCCGAGUUCAAAUCUCAGUAGGACCU
rnacentral:tRNA from 14 species